rnacentral:rRNA from 1 species
UACGUAGGUGGCAAGCGUUGUCCGGAUUUACUGGGCGUAAAGAGCGCGCGGGCGGUCGUGCAAGUCGCGUGUGAAAGCCCCCGGCUCAACUGGGGAGGGUCACGCGAUACUGCUCGACUUGAAGGCAGGAGAGGGAAGUGGAAUUCCCGGUGUAGUGGUGAAAUGCGUAGAUAUCGGGAGGAACACCAGUGGCGAAGGCGACUUCCUGGCCUGUUCUUGACGCUGAGGCGCGAAAGCUAGGGUAGCAAACGGG